rnacentral:rRNA from 1 species
AACGAACGCUGGCGGCAUGCCUAACACAUGCAAGUCGAACGAGACCUUCCGGUCUAGUGGCGCACGGGUGCGUAACGCGUGGGAACCUGCCCUUAGGUUCGGAAUAACUCCCCGAAAGGGGUGCUAAUACCGGAUAAUGUCUUCGGACCAAAGAUUUAUCGCCUUUGGAUGGGCCCGCGUUGGAUUAGCUAGUUGGUAGGGUAAAAGCCUACCAAGGCGUCGAUCCAUAGCUGGUCUGAGAGGAUGAUCAGCCACACUGGGACUGAGACACGGCCCAGACUCCUACGGGAGGCAGCAGUGGGGAAUAUUGGACAAUGGGCGAAAGCCUGAUCCAGCAAUGCCGCGUGAGUGAUGAAGGCCUUAGGGUUGUAAAGCUCUUUUACCCGGGAUGAUAAUGACAGUACCGGGAGAAUAAGCUCCGGCUAACUCCGUG